GGGCCCGCACAAGCGGUGGAGCAUGUGGUUUAAUUCGAUGAUACGCGAGGAACCUUACCAGGGCUUAAAUGCAGGCUGCAUGGGGUGGAGACAUCCCUUUCUUCGGACCGCCUGCAAGGUGCUGCAUGGUUGUCGUCAGCUCGUGCCGUGAGGUGUCAGGUUAAGUCCUAUAACGAGCGCAACCCCUACCGUUAGUUGCCAGCGAGUCAAGUCGGGGACUCUAACGGGACUGCCGGUGCAAACCGUGAGGAAGGUGGGGACGACGUCAAAUCAUCACGGCCCUUACGUCCUGGGCCACACACGUGCUACAAUGGCCGGUACAGAGGGAAGCCACCCCGCAAGGGGGCGCGGAUCUAUAAAACCGGUCACAGUUCGGAUCGGGGUCUGCAACUCGACCCCGUGAAGCUGGAAUCGCUAGUAAUCGGAUAU
rnacentral:rRNA from 1 species